AUUGAACGCUGGCGGCAGGCCUAACACAUGCAAGUCGAACGAGUGGCGGACGGGUGAGUAAUGUCUGGGAAACUGCCUGAUGGAGGGGGAUCACUACUGGAAACGGUAGCUAAUACCGCAUACCAUCGGAUGUGCCCAGAUGGGAUUAGCUAGGAGGUGGGGUAACGGCUCACCUAGGCGACGAUCCCUAGCUGGUCUGAGAGGAGGCCCAGCCACACUGGAACUGAGACACGGUCCAGACGCCUACGGGAGGCAGCAGUGGGGAAUAGUGCACAAUGGGCGCAAGCCUGAUGCAGCCAUGCCGCGUGUAUGAAGAAGGCCUUCGGGUUGUAAAGUACUUUCAGCGGGGAGGCGUUACCCGCAGAAGAAGCACCGGCUAACUCCGUGCCAGCAGCCGCGGUAAUUC
rnacentral:rRNA from 1 species